UACACGACAGUAUGGGGACGUCUGUCGGCCACAUAUAUACCGCCACGAUUUGUCACUUGCUCGCCGCAUCUGACUGGUGGGCGCGUGGAUGUAUGAUGUGUGAAACAGGGGGGUGUAUCUUCGCCCGUGGCAGCUACCCUGCGAAACCCUGCCUUCCCCGGUAUUUCGGGGCACCCUCAUCCAGUCACCCUAGUCAACUUCUCAGUGGAUCGCUCAGGUUCCGCACCCACCACCAGCAUCCAACGGAAUCUGCCGGGUCGACAGCGGCGCAACUCCAUUCCUGGUCGGCUCGCAGGUUAACUUUAUCCCAGGUCACCACCGUCCAUCAACUAGGGGCGCAAUGCCUUCCACCAUCGGAAGGACUUUUGACCCUAAGGGGUAUCGAUCCCGGGAUCUCCCGGGGGCAAUGGUCGCGCCUUACCAGUGGUGCCAAACCCUAGUAUGUCCAGGAUGUAUGUCCAUCGCUGGCAGUCGAUCACUUGGGCGCCGCCGUUCACUGCUGCUGAUGCUGCUGUUCAUGGUGAUGGUGGUGGUGCUGCUGUAUAGGAUUGUGCGUGACGUGCACAUAUGUGUUACAUGUGUCUGAUGUAGGCAUAUGAUGACGAUAUGCUAUACGCGUGUAGACAGUAGCCUGUUUUGAAUUGGAUUGUGGUGAAUAUGUUUUUGCAUUCAAUCAAUCAUGCGAAGAGCUGGCAGAUGAUGAGCGUUCACGUUCAGGCGCCACCUUUCUCGUAGAGAACUGGGUGAUGCGCCGUGUUUGAGGUUCGAGUGUGUGAGCGUGGAGGGGGGUAGACCGGGUGGAGCGGAUGAAGCCAGCAUGUGUGUGUAUUUGUUGUUAGCUUGCAUUCAUAGCGUCAAAUGGCGCCCGCUGCACGUCCGCAAGCGAGUGGCUGAGCCAGUCAGAUUACUCAUUUAGCACACUGUACAUGGUAUAUCAUUUCCCUAGUCAGAUAUAGCUUGCAUUCAUGUGUUGUUUAUUACUUGUUUUUUCCUCUCUGUCACACA
rnacentral:lncRNA from 1 species